rnacentral:rRNA from 1 species
AUGUCCGGAUCCAGCCUUCCUGGUCGGUGGGUCGUUUCUUCUGUUUCAGAGGAGGACAUUGCGAAGCUUAGGGCGGCAAGAUAUCUGACUGCAGAAAUUCUCCAUCGGCUCCCUGUCGAAGGGCAGGUUAUCCCCAUCCCCAGAUCUGGCGAGAGGGUCGUGUUCAUCUCCCACUUCCUCCGAGGGUUAGGCUUUUCCCUUAAUCCCUUUGUCCGAGGGCUCAUGUUCUACUACGGGCUGGAUUUUCAUGAUCUGGCCUCGAGCUCUAUUCUGCUUAUCUCGGUGUUUAUCGUUACGUGCGAGGCCUUCCUUCGAAUCCCUCCACACUUCAGCUUGUGGCUUAAGACUUUCCACGUGAAGCCGCAGAUGAUAGGGGGAAGCAGGCGGAGUGUGGUGGUGCCAUCGUGA